UACGUAGGGUGCGAGCGUUGUCCGGAAUUAUUGGGCGUAAAGAGCUCGUAGGCGGUCUGUCGCGUCGAUCGUGAAAACUUGGGGCUUAACCCUGAGCUUGCGGUCGAUACGGGCAGACUGGAGGUAUGCAGGGGAGAACGGAAUUCCUGGUGUAGCGGUGAAAAUGCGCAGAUAUCAGGAGGAACACCGGUGGCGAAGGCGGCCACCUGGACGGUAACUGACGCUGAGACGCGAAAGCGUGGGUAGCAAACAGG
rnacentral:rRNA from 1 species